UUGGCUGUGUAAGGUAUUCACAACAGAAUAAAGCAAAAUUCCUGCUCCCACCUUAGCAUAGCAGGCAGAUUGGCUGCUGAGGUUUCUUUAGCUGCAUGUUUCAUGGUCCUCUUGUUCGGCCCUGAAGCUUCCCUGAUAUCAGGAACUUUCAUCUACAGUGGUGCAUUGGCAGUUUUCAUGGGAUCUCCAGGAUCACCCUCACCAUGACUCACGCUGCAGGCUUCUUCACUGCUAUAAAAUCCAAAUUUGCUGCACUCACCAGGGUCCCUACAACCUCUGGGAUCUUUAAAGCCAGUCCUGUGAAGCUCUCACACCUUCUGCAGCCUAUUUGUUGUCCACCACCGAGAUCUCCUUAGACUUGAACAGAGAUCAAAGGCAAGUUCUGAUUUCAGAAAAGCUAUUGAAUUAUUUAUUUUAUUUUAUUUUAUUUUAUUUUAUUUUAUUUUAUUUUAUUUUAUUUUAUUGUAUACUUAUUGCUGUUGCUACUGAUGCUCUGAUGCUGCAUGUGUUUGAAGUCCCUUUAUCUCACCAGCAGCAGAAAAGGCAGAAACAAAGACCCAAAGUGCUGGACCUCCGGGGCUGCAUCUUCAGCUUGUUCCAGCUGAGAACACCUGGGUGUUGGCUCAAACACGAGGGGGAGCGGUGCUGCCCGUCUUCUGGAAGAGGCAGUAUCACCUUCCUUUCUUCUCACUAUUAUUCAGUCCACUAAAAGGUUGCUAUUAGAAUUGUGCCCCAUGAGAGCACAGAGAUCAGUGGCGCCGUGCGACCUGUAAUUCUUCAUGUGCUGGAGACAGGAAGAAAUUCAGUGUGAUAAUAGUGUCUGCAAAUCCCUGGGAUGACAGGCAGGGUGUAUUCGUCUGAGUGUAUGCAGGCGUCUUGCAUGGCGAUGUCUCCAUUUGCGCUAAUACCCCUGCCCCGGGCUGCCUGUAGAGCCAGAAGAGAGCUAAUUGAUGCAGUCAGGAGAGUCUAGCGCUUGAUGCAUUUCAUGCUAAAUUAGGCGUCUGUGUUUGGUCAGAUGAAUCACCCAAUGGAAAUGUUGGUUUCUUUCCAUGAAAUGAGCCCCCAGCAACCAGCUCGCAUGAGUUCUGCGUGGGAGACUUCAGAACUGAGACAAAGUCGAUCCCACCCCGUUACAGCCGAGAGCUUAGAACUCGUCCCUUUGCCUCUGAACCAUAUGGGGCAGCGUCACCCUUUGUCAGCCCUAGUGCCACUGGAGCAGAGGUAGUUUAUAUCUGGAAUAGAUAUGGAUCUGGCAGAGCACAGCCCUGAUUGCAGUCCCACUGAGCCCACGUAGGACAAGGUCAGCACGGGCAUCUGUCCUCGUUCCGUGCGGUGACCUGGGAGGAGCAAGCAGGAGGAGCUCAUGGUGGGGAGUGAAGCUUCGGGCUGGCACCCUUGUCAUGCAGGAGGCUGUGCAAUGCUCAGAAGCAUUUGGGGGGCAUUUGGCAAGCUUUGAGAUCAGCUGGUACUUAAGCAAAGAGCACCUUGAGCUAUAAAAUACCUAAGGGCAAUGUCAUUAAGGAGCUAAAUAGAAUAAACACCACUGGACUCCUGGCAUCUGAGUCCCACCACGCCCCAAGCUCUCUGCAGAGAAUCCAGAGAUCAGUUUGGCCCUUUCUCUGCCCAUGGACACACAGGCAGCAAAAGAGCACUUCUUUCCCCACUUUGUACUUUCAUU